ensembl:lncRNA
GCACUCAGGAGGCAGAGGCAGGAGGUUCUCUGUGAGUUUCAAACUAGCCUGUUUUUACAGAGUGAGUUCCAGGACAGCCAGGGCUGUCAAAACAAAACAAAAACAAAACCAACCAAACAAACAAACAAAUGUUCUGGAUUUCUAUGUCCAUCCACUCUCACAUAGUCAUCAUUAGCUUCCUUUUUCCCAAAUUUGACUGCUUUAUACUUUAUGUAUAUGUCUAGUCAAACAAUUUCCUUCCUCUUAUUUCGUUGGAAUUUUACAUUGUUUCCACUUUAUUUUACGAAUUAUACUAUAGUGGAUAUAGGUGUGAAAAGUUGUCUAUAGUUACUCUUUUAUAUAAAAAUACACAUGUAAUUAAAAGUAUGCAUACUAAAGACCCACAUUAUAAAUAUAAAGAAUGUCUCUCAGCUUUUAUUCAUAUAUUAACUUUUACUUACCAGGAACAAAACCCUAUACAAAUAUAGAAUGUCAUGAAGAAGUUGAUUGGCAUCUCUCCUUAAACACCAGAGAAUCUGCAUACUAGUGAAACCCUACAAAUGUGAAUGUGAAAAUUCAUACAAGUCAAACCCUUCAAGUAUAAAGAAUGUGAAAAAACCUUUUCUGAUCAUUCACCCUUUAAUCUACAGAAGGAUGUGGAAUAGAAAAGGCAAGAAGAUGAUUUCUCACCUCCUGAUUUCUGUGCAUUUCAUUCCUUUGUAUUUUAUGGAAGCUCUGGACAGCACUUUAAGAUUAUGGGGAAAAGCAGUGAUGAAACUGAAUGUUGAAGAGAGGAUUGCAGGUUUUCCCUGAAUGUGCAAUGUGAACUCCAAGUUUUUUGUUUGUUUUGUUGAUUUUUUUAUUUUUAAUUUAUUGUUUCUUGUUUGUUUUGUUUUUUUAAACUAAUAUUACUUGGAAAUUUUUCUUUCUACUCUUGUUCUGCUAAGAUUUUUUUUCAACAUCAAAGGGUGUUGACAUUUUAAGAUUUCUUUUCAACAUCCUUUCCAUUGUUUCUGUGCAUCUUUUGUUCUAUUAGGGUAUCAUUGUGAUUGUUUAUUUUUGCUUUUUAAGUUAAGAUUUGCUUUGCAUGUGAAGGACAGGUCUCUUUUUGUCAUAAUACCUAAACUUAUUGAUGGUUUUUAAUUUCAUUUGCUAAUGUGCUACUUUAGGAUAUAUAUAUCUGAAUCUGGGACUGGAGAAAUGGCUCAAUGGUUAAGAGCAGUGGCUGGUCUUCUACAGAUCCUGGUGGUUCACAACUCUAUCUCUAGUUCCAAGCAUUCUUUUCUUUAUUAUUACUUUCAUUAUUUUACAAUCCAGCCGUUACCCACUCCUGGUCCCCCUUCCACAGUUUCUCACUCCAUUCCUCCCCCUGUCUCCAAGAGGAUGUCUGUCCUCCUACCCCUAACCAGGCUAGCCCAUUCCCUGGGACCUCAGGUCUCUUGAGGGUUAGGAACCUGAUGUGCUCUUUUAACCACCAUUGACCAUGGCUUGCUUGCACAUGGUGCACAGACACACAUGCAGGAAAAACACUUUUAUGCAUCAUCAUUUUUAAUUAAAUCCCAAGCCUAUAUUCAUAAAAUUCAUUAUUACAUAGUUGAAUCAAAUAUGUUCCUGCACUGAAGGAAAAGCAAGUGGAUAAGUGAUGUUCAUGUUUGUCUUUCUUGUGUGGUAAAACAUUUGUUAAAAGAAACUGAAGACAGGGUUUAUUGAGACCAUUGGUCGGAGGCUGCAGAGGAUCCCAGUGGGAAAAUCACAUCGGCAGGACCUUGAAAUAACCCAUUACAGUGAUUCACAGUCAAACAACAAUGUUUGUUCUUUCCCCACCUGUCUACGUUUUCAGUUGUUGUGUUAAUAUACCAUGAGCAAGGCAACUUGUAAAAGAAAGCAUUGGGCCCCUGGUUCAGGAGAGUUAGGGAUGAUGACUAUCACAGAAGGGAGUGUGGCAGGAGGUAGGCAGCAUGGCACUGGAGUAACUUAGUGCUUACAUCUUGAUCCACAAGCAUGAUGCAGAGAAAGUCAACUGUGAAUGGUGUGGGCUUUUUGAAACUUCAAGUUCUAC